GUAUUGUAUUGCGUUAAACGCGGCAUACAUUCCAUGAGACUUUAUAUAGAGUGUGUGUGUAAAGACAUAGAACCACAGCAGGAGGGCAGGGCCCCCCACACCAUAGAACUACAGAGGGUGCACAGGUGUGAGUGGAUGUGUAAACAGAGCGUGCACAUGCCCCCAUUUGAGGGCCAGCAACAACUCGUGUUGACAGUUCAGUAAUGAUCCUUCCGCAGGUUCACCUACGGAAA
rnacentral:misc_RNA from 1 species